rnacentral:sRNA from 1 species
ACUUGUUAGAAAUACUGACAAAAUUUCUGAAUAUUCUAUUUAUUUUUCGUUAUAUUUUCUUUUUUCUUUCUUCUUUGAUCAGCUUGCUUUAUUUUAAAAUCCCUGUUAUGAUAAUGAAGAAUUAUUUUUGUUCGGAAAAAAGUUGUUAAGUGAUACACUUUCCAUCUCGAAGUAUUGAGCAAGGAUAGUAACACAAUGUGUGCACAGCACACGAGGAGGAAACACACAUGGAACAAGGUAAAGUAAAAUGGUUUAACGCAGAAAAAGGUUUUGGUUUUAUCGAGCGCGAAUCUGGAGAUGACGUAUUCGUUCACUUCUCAGCUAUUCAAGGCGAAGGCUACAAAUCUUUAGACGAAGGUCAAGCUGUAACAUUUGAUGUUGAAGCAGGCCAACGUGGACCACAAGCAACAAACGUAGAAAAAGCGUAAUUUCACUUUUUUAUACAAAACAGACUCUCCUUCGAGAGUCUGUUUUUU